rnacentral:lncRNA from 1 species
UUUUAAUCGUCUAAUAUACCAACCAAGUGAGGGCACGAGUAUAGAAGUGUGUAUCGUAUAUUAGUGAAGUUUCAUUUCUUUUUUAUUUUUUAAGUUUAUUUUGAGAGAGAGAGAGUGCAGGAGCGAGUGGGGGAGGGGCAGAGCUAGAGGAGCCGAAACAGAUCCUGCACUGACAGUAGAGAGCCCGAUGUGGGGCUCGAACCCACAAACUGUGAGAUCAUGACCUGAGCUGAAGUCAGACACUUAACCAACUGGGCCCCCCCCAGGCGCCCCCUUCCUUAUUUUUUAAAGAAAAAAUAAGUGAAAAUAGAGGUUUUCAUAUUGUUUUCUCAGACCAUACCUUUGUAAUGAGACUACUUGUUUAAAGGAAGGGAAGGAAAGAGAAGCUUAGAACAACUGAGAUGCUACAGUGAUUGAGGUGUGAGGAAACCUGAAAGGAUGUGUGCCCAGAGAAACCAAGGAAAGAAGGAAAGCUGGAAUGGUUGGCUGUGUCCAAUGCUGGGCAAGGCAUUACGAUAAGAGCAGAGACUCGAUCCUGGAGUUGGCAACAUGAAGAUCUUGGGAGACCUUGACAAGAGCAGUCUUGACGGACUGGUGUAGAUGGAAACUGGAUGGAGUGAGUUGAAGAGAGAUUCUAAAAUCAAGAAGUGGAAACAGUCAUUAGAGUCACUGCCUUCAAAAUGUUUUGAAGAAGAGUAGAGAAAGAGACGGGAAUUUGAAAGGUAUUAUGGGGUCAAAUGAGAUGUUUUGGUUUUGUUUCUUUCACAGGACAGAUUGCAGCAUUUUGGAUGCUGGCCGGAAAAGUCUAGAAGAGGUUGGGGAACUGUAGGAGCACAGUCCCUGAGAACACGAAAAUGGAUGGCUCCACAGCCCGUGUGGAAGAGUUGGCAGGGAGAGUGGGGGCUGGAGUGUGUGCAGAUUCUUCCACCAUGCCCUCUGGCCCGCAUGGCGUAUCACCAGCAAACUCCAUUAUAUCCCCAACAUCUGGCUGGCCAAAAUGUGAUUCAUGGCACAUUGUAAAACCAAAAUAUAACUAGCAGUGAAAUGUUCGGGUCAUUUAACAAUUCUACCAUUAAAUUUUUAAAGAACUGCCAAACUGUUUUCCAAAGUGGUUGUUAUCAUAACCUUUCCUCCCACCAGC